CUUGAAAUGGGCUGAGUCCCUCUUGCUCACCCUUGACUUGGAAAAACCAGUUUCUCUUUUAUUGUCUGUUACUAAUCUCUAUUCUAAAAAUUCAGCUCAAUUCUCAACCAUACUCCAAACUCUCUCUUUUCCAGCUACCUUUACUCCCUCUCCUUCAAUUCCACUUUCCUCUGCUUACUUUUUUUUUUUUUCUGACAGGGUCUCACUUUGUCGCCCGGGCAGGAGUGCAGUGGCUCAAUCUUGGGCUCACUGCAGCCUCAACCUCCCAGAGGCGGGGUUUCACCAUGUUGCCCAGACUGGUCUUGAACUCCUGAGCUUAAGCAAUCCACCUGCCUCGGCCUCCCAAAGUGUUGGGAUCACAGGCGUGAGCCACCGCAUCCGGCCUCAUGUUCUUUUUCAUUAAAGAGAGAAAUCAACUAUUCAGGACCGGCCCCCACCUUUCCUCAGGAGUCAUUUCUGUUCCGCACAGGCCUGCUGAACUGGGUGCUUUAUAUAGGACACUGUCAUCUCUCAAGUACCCAUCUUGGAGGGUACGGACCCCACAUGAGGGUGAGGCUCUCUGCACACUCCAGAGUGAGGACUUUAAUAAUCUAGUGGACUGUACAUGUUGGGAGGGGAAGAGCGGGGUGCCGAGGGUCUGGAGGGAGAAGAAUUGACUGCCCCUUUUGCUCUUGGAGUUAAGCAGAAAUCUAAAGAGAAGGCAAAGAAUCUUGCCUUCCUGGCAUCAUUUCCUCCUACCAUCCCAGGCCAUCAUUUAUUUAUUACAGCCAACAGACUGGCCUCUUUCUUCCCUUUGACUGGGAAUGGGUCAAAGGCGGUGCAGGAGGAGGAUCUGGUCCAGAUAAUUCACAAGCAGGGUGCAUUUUCCUCUCAUUAUUGAGAACUGUGAGUGUUUAUCAAGAAGGCAGAGCAGGAGAAGAUGAACCAGUCUUCUUCCCCUCACUACCCAGAUCUCUGCCUGCCAACAAGCCCCGUGUUCACCCUGGCAAAGAGUCUUUACAUUCAGACCAAGGAGAGUGUGACUCCUUCUCAGCACUAGCUAGAAACCUCAAGCCCUUGCUUAAGGGCCUUUUUCAGAGAGACCCAAUGCCCAGAAGGCUAGAUGCGUGGGGAGGAGCCACAUACGAGAAACUGCCUCCCUGCUUCGGGUCAGAACAAGCCCCAGGAAGAAAGUAUUUCAAACAACAAGGUGCAUCUGCCCCAACCCAUCCAGCCUGCAUGUUGGUGCUGAGAACAGCCUUUUAUGGGGCUUGCACUGAGCCAUGGGCAUGUCUGAACACAACAAGGAAGAGGCCAGAGCAGCAACAGCACGCAAAGGGUUGAUGGGCAUUUCUUUUAAGACAGAGCAGAAAACUCUUAGAUACUUUGCGUCCUUCCUAUUUGACUCAGUCUAUGAAAGCCAGGUUAGCUUGCUUUCUUCCUCCCUAAAUCCUCCAUCCUCAUGACCAACAAAGAAAUAGUUGAAUCAUUUUCCAGGCACAUCUUGGGGAGGAUGUGGGGCCAUUGGAGGCUGUCCUUCCUAGAUAAGUCUUUAGGAGUGAGAACAAGGAGUCUUACCCUCCUCUGUCCACCCACCCCCAUGAAUGGGCCUGGCUCCAGCCAGGAGUUGUGGUUUUUCCUGAGCUCCUCACCUAUCUCUUCUGGAUUUCACAUUGGCAAACGGGGUUGCAAAGUGCUCUUCGUGCUCUUUGGACAGUGCCUUGUGGAGAGGAAUGCCCAUGCCCCUGCAUUCCAAGGCCUUGGUAAGCAAGCUCAGAGUAGCUGGAUUUUUCUAAAGCAAUUGCAGAACACCUGCUUUUUCUUUGUUUCCUCUAGAAAGGACCAACCACACCGAGCUCAGUUAUGGCACACACAGUGGGACCUAGACAAAGGGAGAGGGUGACCGACAUCCCAACUAGAUUUCAGUGGAGUGAAGUUCAGGAGGCAUGGAGCUGACAACCAUGAGGCCUCGGCAGCCACCGCCACCACCGCCGCCGCCACCACCGUAGCAGCAGCAGCAGCAGCAGCAGCAGCAGCAGCAGCAGCAAGAGUAACUCUGACUUAGGAAUAGAGACAGCCAGAGAGAAAUGUGAUCAAUGAAGGAGACAUCUGGAGUGUGCGUGCUUCUUCAGAGGGACGGGUGAUGGGCAGAUUGGAAAAAGCACCGCAGAUGGGAACCUUAAUCUUUCUUUUCUAAAAUUGAUGCUAUGAAAAUUUGCGUUUUCUGUAACUUGUAAAAACUAAAAGUUGCUUGUCUACUGAAAAGCCUCUCUGCCUCUAUGUUUUAUACCAUCGGAUGCCAACUCCCGGCCUUCUAAGCCACCUCCCCUUUAGGCUAAAACUGAGACAUGAACUUGAAAAAUUGACACUGGCUUCCUCUCUCUUUAGGGUCCCCAGGCAGGUGGCUGGGACACUAUUUGCAAUCAGCAAGGAACCCUGCUGCCCUUAGACUCCCCACAGAGCAAGCAGAACUUGCAGAAUGGGGUAAAAACACUCUAUUAAAGAUUUUUUAAACCUAUUUAUAUUGUAAUAAAGUAAAUGUAAAUAAAAUUUA
rnacentral:lncRNA from 1 species